GAUGAACGCUGGCGGCGUGCCUAAUACAUGCAAGUCGAGCGAACAGAUAAGGCUCUUGCUCCUUUCACGUUAGCCGCGGACGGGUGAGUCACACGUGGAUAACCUACCUAUAUGUCUGAUAUAACUUCGGGACACCGGAUCUUAUCCCGUAUAACAUUUUGCACCUCGUGGUUCUAAAGUGAAUGUUGGUUUUGCUAUCUCUUAUCGCUGGUCCCCCGCCGUAUUAUCGAGUUGGUAAGGUAACGGCUUAUCAAGGCGACGAUACGUAACCGACCUGACAGGGUGAUAGGCCACACUGGAACUGAGACAGGGACCAGAGUCCUACGGGAGGCAGCAGUAGGGAAGCUUACGCAAUGGGCGAAAGCAUGACGGAGCAAGGCCGCGUGAGAGAUGAAGGGGUUCGGUGCGUAAAACUCUGUUAUUAGGGAAGAACAAAUGUGUAAGGAAAUGUGGACGGAGUGACGGUAACGAAUCAGAAAGCAACGGCUAACUACGUG
rnacentral:rRNA from 1 species